rnacentral:lncRNA from 1 species
CCUGGCUGACCUAGCUCAACUGACAGGAUCGGACCAAAUCCCCCAAACUCAUUUAUUGUUUUGUCUUAAAUUGAGUGCCACAAGAUCUAGACGACCAGACCCGAUUACAUGGUUGAUCUUUAUUUCAAUUAUAUAUUUCAUAUUUCAUAGUUUAUAUGUUAUUCAUAUAUUUAUGUGUUAAAUAAUUAUUUUUAAAAGCAUUUAAUAUUAAAUCUUACAAAUUUGGUUAGGUGGACGCACUAAAAGUAGAAACAGAAGAAUCCUUCGUUUCAUAUAGUUACACAUACAUAUGAAUAUAAGAAGCAUAGUCGAAAGAGCUUUUUGCAAUAUUGACUCAAAACUCAAAGUCAAACCUAAAAUUAACUCAUGCUUUUCUUGAAUUUUUCUUUUGUCCUAUUCACCUCACAAGUUCAUAUAAUUCACGAAAAUGCCAUCAAAUUUUUUUUUUUAUCCGAAAAUGACAUUUUUACUCUCUCACCCUCA